rfam:Leptolinea tardivitalis strain YMTK-2 contig_3, whole genome shotgun sequence.
CAGGCUGGCUGGAUGAUCGCGUCAUCACCUUGAGUGGUGCCGAGGAAAGUCCGCGCUGCACAGGGCAGGGUGACGGGUAACCCCCGCCGCGGGUAACCGUGGGACAGGGCCACAGAAACAUACCGCUUCCGUGAGGGAGUAAGGGUGAAAAGGCGGUGUAAAAGACCACCGGCGACGCCGUGAUGCGCCGGCCAGGCAACCCCCACCAGCAGCAAGGUCAAGCAGGGAUGAAGCGCUCUUCGGAGUGCGGGGAGCGGCCCGUUCCCCCGUUUCGGCGAUAAUCCCGGGUAGACUGCUUGAGCGGUAUGGCAACAUACCGUCGAGAGAGAUGAUCAUCCACGAGGAGACCGUCUGUGAAGAUACCUCUCCUCCGGACAGAACGCGGCUUACAGGCCAACCAGACAC